rnacentral:rRNA from 1 species
CCCUUAGAUGUUCUGGGCCGCACACGCGCUACACUGAAGGAGGCAGCGUGUACUCCUGGAUCGAAAGAUUUGGGUAACCCGCGAAUCUCCUUCGUGCUAGGGAUUGAGGUUUGCAAUUAUCCUUCAUGAACGAGGAAUUCCCAGUAAGUGCAAGUCAUAAGCUUGCGCUGACUACGUCCCUGCCCUUUGUACACACCGCCCGUCGCUACUACCGAUUGAAUGAUCCGAUGAAUACCAUGGAUUGAGAGUACGAAUAGGUUCGCUUAUUUCUGCUGCUCGAGAAGUGGAGUAAAGCUUAUCAUUUAGAGGAAGGAGAANUCGUAGCA